GCAGACACAUUCCAGCCAAUCAGCAGCAGACCCUCCCUCCCAGACCCUCCCACCUCCUAGACAUCUCAAUAAGAAUGCAGCUUCACAAUGAAUGUAAAAUGGAUGCUGUCCAGGAGGUGGGAGGGCCUGGGAGGGAGGGUCUGCUGCUGAUUGGCUGGAAUGUGUCUG
rnacentral:miRNA from 1 species